rnacentral:misc_RNA from 1 species
UAUGGCCUUAGCAGCCGAAGCGACGUGGUCGUCGGGAGCGACAUCGAUGGUAGCGCGUACAUCCUUUGAGAAAACAUAGAAGAAGCUACCGAGGAGAGAGAGACAUCGAUAUAUUGGGGUCUUCCGUCUUGGAUUCGACGGCAGUUCGGCUUCGGCGACAGAAGCGGCGACAUCAGGAGCGACAUCAGUAGCAAAGCAGGUUCCUCAGAGCGACGAUGGAGAGAGAGAGAACGGUGAGGAGAACUUCACAUAGAAUUUAGUUGAAUAUGCAAACGUUCCUAUACAUAUUUCGAUCAGUUGCUCUCGACUAUUCAUACUAAAAACAGUCGUUAGAAAUAUACUAGCCCGGUAUUCUGAACAGUCCUUUAAAAUUCUGAGAGAUGACUUUUCAAUUGAAUUACGC